rnacentral:rRNA from 1 species
UAUAUUUUAAUAAUUAUUUUAUAAUUUUUUUUAAUAAUUAUAUUUUUUUUAUAAAAGUAAUUUUUGUGUUUUUGUAUUGUUUUAUGAUUUGAUUAUUUUUAUAUUAUAGUUUAUUAGUACUGUAAAGGAAUAAAUAUUUUAUUUUUAUAGUUUAUUUUAUUUAUUGUACCUUGUGUAUCAGGAUAUGUUUAAAUUAUAUAUAUAUUUAUUGUUCUCGAUUUUAUAAGAGUUAAUUACUUAAUUUAAUUUAUUGUUUUAUAAUUAUUUAAAAUGGGUAAUUGGUAGUGAUAUGUUAAUCGUUUAUUAAUGGUAUCUAGUUGUUCAAGAAAUGAAUUUAAUUCAUAUAUUAUAUUUAUAGUUUUUAAUUAAUUUAUUUUAGUUAAUAUAAAUGUUGAAGGGGGUCAGCUCUUUAAUAAAUUUCUAUAAUGUUUUUGGUAUUUAAAUGUUAUGGAAUUAAUAUUAUUUAUUAAUUUGAAUAUAUAAUAAUUAUAUUUAUUGUGAUUAUGUUUUUUUUUUAUUUAGAUUAUUUAUUGAAUUAAUUUAUUUAAUUAUAAAUUAUUUAUUAUGAUGGUUUAAUUAGUAUAUAUUAUUAAUUUAUUUUAUAGGUUUUAAUUUUGUUUAAUUUAUAUUAAAAAUAAUUUGGCAAUAAAAUAUAUUCGAUUGUUUAUCAAAAACAUUGCUUUUUGUUUUAAUUGUAUGGAAAGUAUGACCUGCCCAAUGAUUUAUUAAUUUAAUGGCCGCGGUAUUUUAACUGUGCAAAGGUAGCAUAAUCAUUAGUUUUUUAAUUGAGGACUGGAAUGAAUGGUUAAACGAGAUAUAAACUGUUUCAUUUAUAUAUAUAAUUGAAUUUAAUUAUUGAGUUAAAAGGCUUAAAUUUUGUUAUGGGACGAGAAGACCCUAUAGAAUUUUACAUAGAUAUUAUUUAUUUUAGUUGAUUAUACAGUUUAGUACUAAAUUUUUUUUUGUUUUGUUGGGGUGAUAGAAAGAUAAAUUUAACUCUUUUUAAUAUAUAAUAUUUAUUUAUAGUUUAAGUGAUCCAUUAUUAUUGAUUAUAAGAUUAAAUUACCUUAGGGAUAACAGCGUUAUUUUUUUUGAGAGUUCUUAUUGACAAUAAAGAUUGCGACCUCGAUGUUGGAUUAAGAUUAAUUUUGGGUGCAGAAUUUCAUUAUAUUAAGUCUGUUCGACUUUUAAAAUCUUACAUGAUCUGAGUUCAAACCGGUGUAAGCCAGGUUGGUUUCUAUCUAUAAUUAUUUUAUAAAUAUUUUAGUACGAGAGGACCAGAUAUUUAAAAUAAUUUUUAUAUAUUUUAUU